GCGUAGCCGUAAACCUUGAUAAUAACUUACCCCCACAUCCGCCCGGGUACUACAAGUACCAACUUGAAACCCAAAGGACUUGGCGGUGCUUUAGACCCCCCUAGAGGAGCCUGUUCUAGAACUGAUAAUCCCCGUUAAACCUCACCCUCCCUUGUCAUUCCCGCCUAUAUACCGCCGUCGUCAGCUUACCCUGUGAGGGUCUUAUCGUGAGCACAACUGGCACAGCCUUAAACGUCAGGUCGAGGUGUAGUAGAUGGGAGGGGAAGAAAUGGGCUACAUUCGUCUACUGACGAACAACGAAUGAUCUAUUGAAAACAUUUAUCUAAAGGAGGAUUUAGCAGUAAAAAGGAAAUAGAGUGUCCUUUUGAAACUGGCCCUGAAGCGCGC
rnacentral:rRNA from 1 species